rnacentral:lncRNA from 1 species
UCAUAUAAAUUAGGAUAUAUAUACAAUAAUUUCACAAUCAUGACCCAGUCUCAAUUAUCUUGAAUACAAUUUAAUCGGGGCUUAAUCACAUGACGUCACAUUCAUAAUAUGGGCUACCAGUUCACAUGCGCUUAAUUAAACAAUAAGAUCAUCCAAAAAAAAAAAAAAAAAAACACAAAACCCUACAACUGUGGAGUUCAACAACAAUUUGAGAGUAGAAUAGUGUACAUAUUUAAUAACACAAUUUAGUUAAUGAUAAUAAUAACAAAAAAAGUUAUAAAUUACUUUUGUAGCUCUGCGAGGAAAAUUACAGAGUUUCAGUCGGUUCAGCAACUUCCUAUUACCUGAGAAAUUUGGACAGAGAGGGGGGUGAGUUUUGCAACUCAAUAAAUAAUAAUAAAUAAUACACAUCACACACAUUCACGCAUAAUGCACUCUAAUAUUCUAAAAUGAGCAUACUACAAUCAAUCAUAUGGCACAACACCAGCACCCAGAAGUAAUGUCACCUUCAAAUAAUCAAACAAGUGAAAAUUAGUCAGUGGUGUCAUCUAAAACCCCAAAGAGCCGUUUUCACACAUGGCUCGCCCUCUCAUACGUGUGCACCAGGGACACGAUUCCCCAUAUCUGGUCGACUGGUCUAAUCCUCACUUGACCAGCCCUCUCAUUGUUUGUCCAUUCUCUCUUUUCUUUUCCAUACCAACAGGAGGCAACCCGGUCGUCUCCGUUAAAUCUAGAUCAUCAGGCGCACACAACAGGAGGCCACCCUGCGGGCUACCAUCAAAUCCAUAUUAUCAGGUGCGCCCAAUAAGAGACCACCCUUUGGUUUUCCAUAUCAUCCAGAUCAUAUCACCAGGUGCACACGGGGUGCCAAUCUCCCAUACGACCAACAGUCUCGUAGACCGUCCUCACAAACCCAUGGUGACCCACUUCAUCCCAAUUUCACACAUACGAGGCACAAUAAUUCACAGCACAAGUAAUCAAGCAAUUCACUUUACAUAAUACACAAAUUCAUAUCAAUGCACAACCGUAAAUAUAUAGUAACAUAUUAUAUUUAUAAAAUAUGCAUAAAAUAUACUGAUGUUAUGAAAAUAAUUAUAUAUAUAAAAAUAUUAAAAUUCUGUUUAUAUAUAUAUAUAGUAUAUAAAAUGCUAUACAAAUGCAAUACUGAUACGUAUUAUUUAUUAUUACUCACAGUAGUGGAAAUUGAAGCUCUAACUCUGAUUCUGACCGAGUGGAGCAAUAGAUGGGCCCGGACAAUCUAAGAAAUUUAAGAAUACAAAGAAAGAAUUUAUAUCAGACAAAGGACUUAUUAAAUUAAGGAAUCAAGAAGUUGAUCUAAUAAACUAUUUACGUAUUUAAUUUCUAAAAAAUAAACUAAUUUCUACAGAAAUUUCGAUAGCAUCUGUCCUAAAAAAUGGACUAUCCACUUGCUAAAACAUCAAUAACUUAUCAUAUAUUUAUCCAGUCCACGCAGCCCAUCCAUCGGGCAAUCAAUCAAUUCAAAUUUCCCAUCCUCCUCCAAUCACAACAUUACCACACAACAAAAAUUUUAUAAUUACAAUAACAUUCCAUCUAAACUAGCUUAAUUCACACUUUAAUUCUAUUAAUAUAUCAUUAUCAAGGUUCCUCAAUUAAAUCAACACUAACAAGAUAUAUGCUAGAAUAUAAUCAAUGCAAAAAUUAAUUAGCUAACCACAAAUACUAAAAAAAUACAUUCUAAAAAUAGUCCAAAAUUCAAUUUAUAUACUCAAUAUAUUGCUGCCGGAAUUUGUUUGACCGGAAAUGGAAGCUACGCGUGCCGGAACGAAGAGCAGGUAAGAGCAGUGGUGUUAAGUCGACCAAAACAAGUUGUUGCGCUCAUCGGAACCGCGAGCAGGUGGCGAGAUCUAACUGGACAGCAGGGGUGUGGUGGCGCGACGGUGCGGUGGUGCAACGCGGUGGUGCUGCGCUCGUUCUUGGUGGGUGGAGACACGCUGAAGCAAUGGCGGAGCUGUGUAGCGGCGAUGGUGCGAUCUGGUGGUGGAGCAGGUGGUGGUGCGAUGCAGUCUUCUUUGAGCUACUGUCUCUGCUUGGUUCGAAUGGAGAGAGGGGCGGAAUGGCGAGCUUUGGCGGCGUCGAGCUGCAGCAGGGAGCGGAGGUGGCGCGCGAGGAGGUCCGAUCUAGCUGGUGUCGAAGCUGCUGCUUCAAGCUUCGCCAGUCACAGGUGCAGAAGCGGACACAGACGCAGGCGCAGGAAAAGAAAGAAGGAAGAAAGAAGGAAGAAAGAAGAAGAAGAAGAAGAAGAAGAGUGGGAGGAGGUGGCGGUGGCAGUGUGUUGGUGGUGCAGGUGGGUCGCUGGCGAUUGGGAAAAUGCAAACAUAGGAAGAAACUGGACUAGCGUUGGAAAU